rnacentral:lncRNA from 1 species
GCCUUAUCCAUGUGCCAUUUGUUUUACACGAGAAAGAGUUUCUCGUGUAAAUUCUCCACGCACAAGAGAAGCCAUGCCUCCUCUCUUCUCAUGCGUAGAGUGGAUAGGAAUGAGUUGGUUGGCAUUUGAAUUCAAAUUCAAUUUGAAUUCAAAUGAGCAAUCACUUAUCUUUAUCCUCUUACGCGGUAAAAAUGCUGCAAAGACGCGGUCUUGCAUCGUUUUAAAAAAGAGAUAAGAGAGGGCGUGCG